GAUGAACGCUGGCGGCGUGCCUAAUACAUGCAAGUCGAGCGAACAGACGAGGAGCUUGCUCCUCUGACGUUAGCGGCGGACGGGUGAGUAACACGUGGAUAACCUACCUAUAAGACUGGGAUAACCUCGGGAAACCGGAGCUAAUACCGGAUAAUAUAUUGAACCGCAUGGUUCAAUAGUGAAAGACGGUUUUGCUGUCACUAAUAGAUGGAUCCGCGCCGCAUUAGCUAGUUGGUAAGGUAACGGCUUACCAAGGCAACGAUGCGUAGCCGACCUGAGAGGGUGAUCGGCCACACUGGAACUGAGACACGGCCCAGACUCCUACGGGAGGCAGCAGUAGGGAAUCUUCGGCAAUGGGCGAAAGCCUGACGGAGCAACGCCGCGUGAGUGAUGAAGGUCUUCGGAUCGUAAAACUCUGUUAUUAGGGAAGAAAAAAUGUGUAAGUAACUAUGCACGUAUUGACGGUACCUAAUCAGAAAGCAACGGCUAACUACGUG
rnacentral:rRNA from 1 species